rnacentral:rRNA from 1 species
UACGUAGGGUGCAAGCGUUGUCCGGAAUUAUUGGGCGUAAAGGGCUCGUAGGCGGUCCAUCGCGUCGGGAGUGAAAAGCUGGGGCUCAACCCCAGUCCUGCUUCCGAUACGGGCAGACUAGAGGUAUGCAGGGGAGAAUGGAAUUCCUGGUGUAGCGGUGAAAUGCGCAGAUAUCAGGAGGAACACCGGUGGCGAAGGCGGUUCUCUGGGCAUUACCUGACGCUGAGGAGCGAAAGUGUGGGGAGCGAAGAGG